rnacentral:lncRNA from 1 species
CCGGUUCGAGGUUGGACAUUGUAGGUAGGUAACCAGAUGGCUGAUGACAUGUUGUAACGCCGAAAUGGAUACUCUGUGCAUUUGAUAACUGGAACACUGCUGGUAAAGCUGAAAAGCUGAAUGGGUUGGACGAUAUCUCAGGCAUCUUGCUGCGAAGCUUUCUGCUGACUUGCUUAUGCUUUCUAUGCUGCUGUGGCGGCGAAGAUACAAAUAGUUAGGUCAAUGAAAGAUUGGUGUGCUCUUUUGUACGCUGUUGGGAACUAAGAUAUACUAGAAGACGAGUCCUUUGGCCUCUUCUCAACUGUAUCCAGAUAUAAACAUCGGAACUAGUUAUUACUAGAAGAACGUCCGUGCGUUGCAAUGGGGCCACAUUAACUUUAAGAGUUCAAUAUUAAUAUUCUCGUACAUAUAAGUGACAUUGGUGACCUUUUUUACCAUCAAAAUCCUCAUACACACUCUCUCCCUCCCUCUUCCUUCCUCUCCCUCCCUCUCUCUAACGCACACACAUAUCCAUCUUAUUGGGUAUGGGACCAUAAUUCAUUUAUUUCACACACCCGCUAGUGCAUAACAAUAUGAAUUAUGUGUAUUAUAUUUGCCAUCAUAAUUGAGGGAAUUAAUUUCAUGUAAAUCGGCCAGCCACAACUCCAAAAAUACGCGGAGGAGGUGGCCUGGGUCGGCUUCGACACUGUCCGGCGCGGGCCACGGGCUCGCUUCCAAGUGCGUCUGCGCGCCGGCCACCCACGCCAGGUCCUUCAAGUGCCGCUUCCACCACACCAACUCCCAGGGCCACGGCCACGGCCAGGGAAGCCGCCCUUCUUCGCCCGCUUCACCGGCCGCGGCACCCGGCCUCGCCGUCCUCGUCCUCCGGCACCGUCGCGACCCAGUGACGCAGCCCAAGCAUCGGCCUCGAGAAUCAAGAACGCUCGACAACGGAGAGGAAAGGGAAGAUCAUAUACAUGUAAUAAGAAAGGGAGUUUAUUUAUUGCUCCCUCAAUAUAUUGUUUCAUUUGUUUGGAGAUUGAUUACCAUCCGUGAGUUAAGGUAAGGUUAAUGUGAUUGAGCGAUUUUUCUGAAAAUCAAUUAUUUGUUUUCUAAUUAAUGUGAUCGAGUGAUUUAAGGUAAGGUUAAUUAAUUUAGAUUUGAUCUUUAGAGAUUGUUCGUGAUUGAUUCUACAUUACUAAAUAAAUUGCGCCAGUAUGAAAAGUUCUGAUCUGUUUAGAUGUCUUUCGUUGUGUGAGAGGGUGACGCGAAAAUAAACCGAUGAAGUGGGGGGAGGGGACGAAAAAAAAA